AAGAACACUGGAGUGGGUUGCCACUUCCUUCUCCAAUGCAUGAAAGUGAAAAGUGAAAGUGAAGUCGCUCAGUCGUGUCGGACUCUUGGCGACCCCAUGGACUGCAGCCCACCAGGCCAAAGUGUCAUAACUCUGUAAAUUGUAGAUGACUGAUAAUGCAAAAUGAUUCUUGUCUAAAGACAUGCAAAUAACUUUUCAUGUUAUUUGGAAGCCGGAGAGAGAAGCUCCCUCCGCCCCUCACCCCCACCUCAACCCGGGAGAAUUUUGGAUCCACUUGCAGGUUAAUUUCAAUGUUAUAAUAUCCCUCGGGGGCCCCCACCUCCCUCCCACCAUUACACCCCCAGCAGUAGCGCUCUCAGAAUCCUGGGCUGGUGGAGGAGGGGGCAGACACGAUGUUCUUCCCGUUUCCUGCACCCUCCUCUGCAGAGCUCUUGGCAAGGGGUCCCCGACGGGGCUUGCGGAUGUUCUGGGGAUCCAGGCUUGGCGCCCUAGACGGCGGGCGGCGAGGACCGUCCCUAGUGCGCCCUGGGUGGGUAGCGCAGUGGGCCUGGAGUCAGAGGGGCUGUUGGCAGGGGCCCAGGCAGGGCACUAGGCCGAGGCACCCCUGCCAGGUGAGUCUGAGUUGGGGGGAGGAAGUGCGGAUGAAAACUGGGGUCUGGUUGCUAGGUGGCGUGAGGAGUCGUCCAGGAGGAGGGACCUGCAGCACGCUGGGCACCCAGGUGUUGCCAUUUCAGGACCUCCCGCAGGCACUUUGAUCUCUGAGAUUCUGCCAGAUCUGGCUUCCUCUGGGAAGACCGGCGAAGGUAGCGGUGCCUUGGGUAGGACUCAGCAGUCUCUGAGCCUCCUCUCCACCUUGCUGCAUUCCAGCCUGGCCUCUGCUUGCUCCUCCAUCAGGACCCCACUUACAACCGCCAGCCCUCCUUCACCAGGCCCACCCUUGGCCCUCAGGUGACCUUCGUGGUGUUCAAACGCGAGAACAUUCCCUGAUGGAGGGGCUUGGGUGAAGGGACCCGCUCUCCCCUCGCAGGGUGCUGGCUGUUGGGUUGUUUUUUCAACGAGAAAGCAACACGUUGAUGCUAUUCUUCAGAGGAAAGACUCCAAGAGUAGGAGUGAUAUCAACUGGGAUGAAUUCGAGACACCUCACAGCUGCUGGCAGCAACAACUGGACCCAAGACUGUGGAUUGCCAUUUUCAACUGGAGGCAGAACUCUGACGGGCCGUCUGUGCAGUAAGCCAAGUCGUGAGACCCCCGCUACAGCCUAACUCCUCCUCUGCCCAGUUCUGCCAUCUCCCUUUUCACAGGUGUUGAUCUCAAGAGUGCUCCCUAAUAAACAUCCUGAACGCUAAGCUUGACC